rnacentral:rRNA from 1 species
GACGAACGCUGGCGGCGUGCUUAACACAUGCAAGUCGAACGGACAGGCCCUGCUUUUGUGGGGUGCUCGAGUGGCGAACGGGUGAGUAACACGUGAGUAACCUGCCCUUGACUUUGGGAUAACUUCAGGAAACUGGGGCUAAUACCGGAUAGGAGCUCCUGCUGCAUGGUGGGGGUUGGAAAGUUUCGGCGGUUGUGGAUGGACUCGCGGCUUAUCAGCUUGUUGGUGUGGUAGUGGCUUACCAAGGCUUUGACGGGUAGCCGGCCUGAGAGGGUGACCGGCCACAUUGGGACUGCGAGACGGCCCAGACUCCUACGGGAGGCAGCAGUGGGGAAUAUUGCACAAUGGGCGGAAGCCUGAUGCAGCAACGCCGCGUGCGGGAUGACGGCCUUCGGGUUGUAAACCGCUUUCGCCUGUGACGAGGCGAGAGUGACGGUAAUGGGUAAAGAAGCACCGGCUAACUACGUG